AUGGAAUGGUGUUUAAGGCAUUAUUUUAUUUGGAGAUAUUCAGGGAUAUGCUUCCACAAGGGACAGCUUGUGAUGGAAGUGAGAGAAGUCUUGUUCCACAGACGUGAUUGUGCCCUUACUCUGGGGAAGCUGCCUGAGAAGACGUGGGGGUCAGAGGGAUCAGGGGGAUGUGGGGAGGGAUGUGGAGGGGCCUGCGGAAGCCACGAGGAUCAUUCAGACUGGGGACCUGAUUAUACAGGUGGCGUGGGUUGGACGUACAGCGGGGGCUGGGAGGAAUGAGGGGCGGUCAGGGAUGAUAUUAAGAGGGGAAAUUGGAGGCAAGGAAUGGCAGGACCCAAACGCCUUGUGAUUUGAAGGGAGCUAUGUUUUGGGAGGUUUAAAAAGGUCAACACAGCUCUCCUGCUCUGCCAAUGUCUUAGCUUGGGCAAUGCUGGUAUCUCUGAGACCCGGGCUGUGUAAAGAUUCAGCACUUGUGAUGUUUUCCUUGGUACCUGCCGUGCAGGACUGGGAUUUGAGGAGUAUGCUGCUCAUGGUCAGUUUCAAUGGGCUGCUUUGCAUCAGGCUGCCUGGAUCUCCUAGCAGCUGCUGCUGCUGCUGAAGAGACGCAUGUGGAUCACCACUUAAAAACCGUGAGUGGCAGGCACUGACCAGAGGAGAGAAGGAAAUCCAGGAGGACUUAGUAAGGAGAAAAUGCUAUUACUCACAAGUUCUCCAGUGCCCACGUGGGAUGGGGAUAUUUGCUCUGAGCUCUUUAGAGGGAGAGGAGCAGGGGAGGGAGGAGUUGGAGACUGUAUCCCCUAUGCAUCCAGAAUGCGCAAGCAUGCACUUGUGUUCAUUUCCUCUGCUGCUUUGGAGUCUGGAGAGGAGGUCGCCGAGAGAAUGUCACAUCAGGUGAUUGUGCUUUUGAGUGUUCUCCAAUUCAAGAAGCCUGCCAUGCUUACAAACAGUUUGCAUAAUACCUUGUUCAUUAAGACCCAUAAAUUAGCACUGUUUUAA
rnacentral:lncRNA from 1 species